UCAUCUGCCACUACGUUCUGAGUUCAAAUUCCGCCGAGGUCGACUUUGCCUCUCAUCAUUUCGGGGUCGAUUAAAUAAGUACCAGUUGCGUACUGUGGUCUAUCUAAUGGACUGCCCCCAGUCCCCAAAAUUUCAGGCCUUGUCCUAGAGUA